AUGUCAGACCACAGACCUGCCGGACCAAGGCCAGGCUGCAGAAGCAGGAUGCACCCCUCUCUUGUAUGGGCUGUGCUGUGCUGGUGCCAUUCCGUGGUCGUCCGCAGGCCAGGCGGCGGGUUUAGUCAGACUGCUCCUGCGAUGAGGGUGGGCGGGGCUCGCCCUGCACCUCCACAUCCUGGUCGUCUGAGAAGGACAGAGAAGACAGCCGGAUUUAGAAAGAGGACCAAGAACCCGAGGAGGCUCUGGAGGAGGGGAACCUUCCCCAGAAUGAGUGGCCAGCACACAGCAGAGACUGAGGCAGGAGACUGA
rnacentral:lncRNA from 1 species